rnacentral:tRNA from 1 species
AGCAAAAUGCCUGAAUAAAGGAUUAUUUUGAUAGAAUAAAUUAUGUAAUUUUUAUUACUUUUGUUA